GAUGAACGCUGGCGGCGUGCCUAAUACAUGCAAGUCGAGCGAACAGACGAGGAGCUUGCUCCUCUGACGUUAGCGGCGGACGGGUGAGUAACACGUGGAUAACCUACCUAUAAGACUGGGAUAACUUCGGGAAACCGGAGCUAAUACCGGAUAAUAUAUUGAACCGCAUGGUUCAAUAGUGAAGACGGUUUUGCUGUCACUUAUAGAUGGAUCCGCGCCGCAUUAGCUAGUUGGUAAGGUAACGGCUUACCAAGGCAACGAUGCGUAGCCGACCUGAGAGGGUGAUCGGCCACACUGGAACUGAGACACGGUCCAGACUCCUACGGGAGGCAGCAGUAGGGAAUCUUCCGCAAUGGGCGAAAGCCUGACGGAGCAACGCCGCGUGAGUGAUGAAGGUCUCCGGAUCGUAAAACUCUGUUAUUAGGGAAGAACAAAUGUGUAAGUAACUAUGCACGUCUUGACGGUACCUAAUCAGAAAGCCACGGCUAACUACGUG
rnacentral:rRNA from 1 species